ensembl:lncRNA
UGUGCAGAGAUCUAACUGUGUGCACCUGUUUGUCGGGUUCCUUUCACUAGAAGUACUUGCAUUCAGAUUCAAACUAUUCUAUAUUCAUUUAGCUGGAUCUUCUGUUUAUACAAAGUGUAUCCUGUAACCACACCGAUAAAUGUUAAAUUCAAUUCGCAUAUUUUAUAACCAGCUUUGCGUAGCACACAGACUUAUAAGAACCGGAUAGAUCAGGGUUCGGCAAAAACUUCCCUGGGACGUAACUGGCUUGUGGGCUUAGGGCUGCUCACUGUAACCCACAGAAGGAGUUAAAGAACUGUUUAGAUGAAAUUAGCAUUAUACAGAGCACAAAAGGUGGCAUUGCACAAUAUCCUCAGCUAAUAUUUGUUGUUCUGUUUUAUAUCAGCUGCAACAAAUAGUGAUGAUCAUACUGCAUCUUAAUUUUACUUUAACCUUCUCAAAUACAGCUGUGGUCAAGCUUAACGGAAGUCCUUUGCAGCAGGUUUCUUAUAUAUUUCAGCAGUAGUAGCAACAAUAUAGCUGCUGCAUGCGUGCCUGUAUGCUGUUUUAUGCAUAUGGGUUUGAUUUAAUAUUUGUUACAGUAGUUAGCCUGCAGCACCUAGAUUUUUGUGGAAAGAAGGUUAUCAUCACCCCCAGAUGCUGAACGCCUUCAUAACUGGAUUUGUCAGAGAGCACCAGGCAGAAUAAAACCUCCCAGAAACAUGCCAUCACCUGUCCCAGCAGCUUCGGGAACACUGCGAUCGCCAGCUGCAUCCAUCUGCCCUGACAAGGGAGGAAUCCAGCUCGGUGCACUGAGUGUACUUGCUUCUUGGCAAAAUGUGUAGUGAUUAAGCUGAUAAAGGGUCUGGCCGGGGGGUCCUGGGCUGCCUGUGAGCCUUUGGAGACUCUGCUCUUUCCUGGACUGGUGUCCUCUGCACCGUUCUUCAGUAGCCUCCGUGUUGGGGAAAGACAAAAAAUAACCCUGCGGGAUAGAUGGCUGGAGCCCUUAAGAAGGGGAUACGUGCAGGUGAACAGUGCAAGAAACAGGUAUGGUAUGAAACCAUCCUCUGGAGAAGUAAGUCAGACCUUGCUUUUCCUUCAUUGUCUCUGCAUGUGGCAGACUGAACGAGAACGAGUGGGCUUAAAUUGUGGGUGCAAAAAGUCACAUUAGGAAAGCUUUCAAAGGAUAAGGACGGUGAAACCUGGGAAAAGGGUGCCUGGGGAUGUCGUGGAGCCUUCCUCACUGGGAGUCUGUAAGACUGAUGUAGACUCACAUCUGUCAAGAUUGACAGUGGUAUGAUUGAUCCUGCCUUGGGGCAGGAAGAAAAACCAGAUGAUGUCUUGAGGUUCCCGAGAUUCUAUGUGUAUGUUGGUUAUUUUUAAGGACCUCAUCUUUAUUUUUAAAUCAUGGUUAACCAAGCAUGUUAUUUCCCUUUAGUGCUAAAACAUAGUUUACAAGUAAAAACAGCCUGACUCUAUCAGAAUCAGAACAAAGAUCUGCCGAAACGGUUAUUACAUUGAAAUCAGGUUAAAAUCUAGCUCUACAGUCUGAACAUAUUCUAAAUGUUAGCUGCAGUCAGUAGGAUUUGGGAUCUUAGAGGGCUGAAUAAAUUGCACACCUCAGACUUUGCGAUUCGAGAC